UGCGCCUUUAACCGAGCUACUACGGAGCAGGUAGUGUCGAAUGACUUGACGUCGGGACUCCUGUCGUACGUCGACAGGGGUCCCUUCGGGGAACCUUCGUCCACCAGGUUGAAUAAAGAGGAACGUACCGGUCCAGGAUGGAAACAUAGCAGACAAAAGUUCCCGCGUCAAACAGUAGUGGGAUAGCACCUGUGAAUAGGAGGCGU